ensembl:lncRNA
CAUAGUUUUUCCACCAUUCAUUUUUCCCACAGGGCUGUGUUUUGUUUAGGCUCACCGUGGUGUGAUGUUUUGAUAACCAUGUAAAUCUCUCUAGGACAAGGUGACUGAGGGUGAAUGUACACUAGAUAAAUAGCGGUAAAUUGCUGUGUGCCGCUUAGGCCGCCCGUUGUGACUCCGGCAAGAAUUCAGCAGAACAAGUUUGUAUUUGUCCAAAUGGCUGGGAGAACCUAUUCAAGUAGCUAGCUAACAGCCAUGGAGGGUGAAAGGAUAGCAGCCCCAACUGUCAGUGAGAGAGGAGAGAGGAGGCUAUUCUGGAUAAGGCAGGUUUUCUGUCCUCAGAUAAAGAGCGCUAUGAAAGCCAGUCUACAUAUGAAGAGGUCCCAAUGAAGAGCAGUGGUUCUCAGUCCUGGGGACUCAAAGAGGGGCAUAUUGUUGUUUUUGCCUCAGCACUGCACAGCUGAUUCAAAUGAUAAACUCAUUAUCAAGCUUCAAGUGAUACCUUGUAACUGGAGAUUCCUUCAAAACAUUUGCCUACAGUUACCGUGUAGGGCACUGCAAGGUCAGGUGACCAGGGUGUGAAGGCUACCGGUGUCCUGCGUAACUUCAUGAAGAUGGACUCUAGGACCAGGAGAGGACCUGCAGCUCACCGCCAAGUGCCAGAGAAGUCUGCUGCUCUGCAGGAUUGUUCAGUCAUUUUUUUAUCAAUGUUCAUAAAUUCCAAUUAUCUUUAUCUGUCU